AUUGAACGCUGGCGGCAGGCCUAACACAUGCAAGUCGAGCGCGAAAGUCUUCGGAUGAGUAAAGCGGCGAACGGGUGAGUAAUGCAUGGGAAUCUGCCUGGUAGUGGGGGACAACGUCUCGAAAGGGACGCUAAUACCGCAUACGCCUACGGGGAAGGGGGGAGUCUUCGGACCUCUCGCUAUCAGAUGAGCCCAUGUCAGAUUAGCUAGUUGGUAGGGUAAAGGCCUACCAAGGCGACGAUCUGUAACUGGUCUGAGAGGAUGAUCAGUCACACUGGAACUGAGACACGGUCCAGACUCCUACGGGAGGCAGCAGUGGGGAAUAUUGGACAAUAGGGGCGGCAAGCCUGAUCCAGCC
rnacentral:rRNA from 1 species